CGGUGGUUGCUGAUGCUGCUAAU
rnacentral:siRNA from 1 species